rnacentral:piRNA from 1 species
AUAAAGCUAAGAAUCCUACUGACAAAC